AUUGAACGCUGGCGGCAGGCCUAACACAUGCAAGUCGAGCGAGCGGCGCACGGGUGAGAAAUGUGUGGGGCUCUGCUCGAUAGAGGGGGAUAACUACUGGAAACGGUGGCUAAUACCGCAUACUACGGGUUGAAACCAUAUGGGAUUAGCUAGUAGGUGGGGUAACGGCUCACCUAGGCGACGAUCCCUAGCUGGUCUGAGAGGAUGACCAGCCACACUGGGACUGAGACACGGCCCAGACUCCUACGGGAGGCAGCAGUGGGGAAUAUUGCACAAUGGGCGCAAGCCUGAUGCAGCCAUGCCGCGUGUAUGAAGAAGGCCUUAGGGUUGUAAAGUACUUUCAGCGGGGAGGCGUUACCCGCAGAAGAAGCACCGGCUAACUCCGUGCCAGCAGCCGCGGUAAUUC
rnacentral:rRNA from 1 species